CAGCAGCCGCGGGAAUACGAAGGGUGCAAGCGUUAAUCGGAAUUACUGGGCGUAGAGCGUGCGUAGGCGGUUUGUUAAGUCUGUUGUGAAAUCCCCGGGCUCAACCUGGGAAUGGCAAUGGAUACUGGCAAGCUAGAGUGUGUCAGAGGAUGGUGGAAUUCCCGGUGUAGCGGUGAAAUGCGUAGAGAUCGGGAGGAACAUCAGUGGCGAAGGCGGCCAUCUGGGACAACACUGACGCUGAGGCACGAAAGCGUGGGGAGCAAACAGGAUUAGAUACCCGCGUAGUCCCUGUCUCUUAUCA
rnacentral:rRNA from 1 species